AACUCAGCACACCUGAGAGGUCAGAAUUAUUCUCCCGUUUCACAUAUAAAACGACUGAAGUGCACAGAAUGAAAGUAAAAGUGUUCACGGACCAACCAGAGAAAGGCUAGUGUGCUCUAAGGCUGGGCAUAUAGGAUGACUGUUCCUAUUUAGCCGACCACAAGCCUCUCCUUGCCCACGGCCUCCAACUGGAAUUGCUGGAAGUCUUCUCUUCUCUCCACUGUGAAGCUUAUCCUUUCCUGGCCUGCCUCUUAGUCUCUGCCAAACACAGCUGAUGGUGACUGAGUGCUUGACUAUAGUAAGCUCUGAAUAAAUGGCUUCAUUUGUCCUCA